AGUGAACGCUGGCGGCAGGCCUAAUACAUGCAAGUCGAACGGCAGCACAGCAGAGCUUGCUCUGUGGGUGGCGAGUGGCGGACGGGUGAGGAAUACAUGGGAAUCUGCCCAGUCGUGGGGGAUAACGUAGGGAAACUUACGCUAAUACCGCAUGCGCCCUUCGGGGGAAAGCCGGGGACCUUCGGGCCUGGCGCGAUUGGAUGAGCCCAUGUCGGAUUAGCUAGUUGGCGGGGUAAAGGCCCACCAAGGCGACGAUCCGUAGCUGGUCUGAGAGGAUGAUCAGCCACACUGGAACUGAGACACGGUCCAGACUCCUACGGGAGGCAGCAGUAGGGAAUAUUGGACAAUGGGCGCAAGCCUGAUCCAGCCAUGCCGCGUGAGUGAAGAAGGCCUUCGGGUUGUAAAGCUCUUUUGUCCGGAAAGAAAAGCAUCCAGUUAAUACCUGGGUGUCCUGACGGUACCGGAAGAAUAAGCACCGGCUAACUUCGUGCCAGCCGCCGCCGUAAAAC
rnacentral:rRNA from 1 species